CAGUGCUACAGGGCUGACAGGGUUAAAUGUCGACACCUUGGUGGGUUUGGAUGUGAUCGACAAAAUGAAGACGAGUGUCGGUGGGACGGUGUCAACCUACUGCUCAGCGCUGAUGUACUGGUCCUCCUGAGGGUUGCAGGCCACCUUGCCAAUGCGGACUCCGUUCUGGAUGUCUUUGAACUGCAGACCCAAGUUCUCUCCCGUGAUGGUCUGCGAAAGGUGUGCGGAGGUGCUAAUGGCUACCGGAGGCUAGCCCAGUCGCUAAUCACAGUCCCAUUCAUCCAGCCCACGACGCAGACAAUGGCCCCUUUGGUAAUCAGUCAUUGCUAGUAUAAUUAGGGCUAAAGCUAAUUGGAUUAGA